UAGACUAAUCAGAAAUCGUACCAUUACUAUCUAAAAAUUAUAGUUUGCCCCUUUUUCAGUUCAUCAACUUGGUCUUACGAGUUUGCGUUUUUAUUGUUUCAGAGUAUCCCAAGCUGUCAAAAGAGGAAAUAAGUUAUAACUCGAAGCAAAUAUGGGAAACGGAACUUCUUAUUCUGCUACCAUUGCGAAUGUACCAAACCCACAUGACGUGGACCAAUUCGUACGAUUCAAAUUCAUUGCAGAGCUGUAUGUGGGACCUUGCACUUUGCUGACAAUUGUUCUCAAUUCCUAUUUCGUCGCCACCGUGUAUUCUGUCGAAAAACUUCAUUCUUGGGACUACUUUUUAGUCACGAUGCAAUCUGUGUUCGACCUUGUCUUCUCUGGCCUGUUAGUUUUGGCUCGCUAUUUCAUGGAAAUAUGGCAGACAGUUUCCGCUUUUUGUUAUUCGGGGGGCUUCAAUCGUCGGAACAAACACGAAGCAGUUCUAACAGACUUCAAACGUUGGCACACGAUAUGUGAAGCACUAAUUGAG